UCCAAGUGGGAGACUGUUGGAUAAGGUGUCUAAGUCCAUAACUAUUUCUGGUAAAUACUUGACCCGACCCGACAUGGUCCAUUUGGGUUGCAUGGCAUCAUGCAAUUGAAUAAACUAAAUGAGAGAAAUAAUACUUAUGGUUAUUAAUAUAUUAUAAGUUCUAAUAUAUUAAUAAUAUUAUUCAAUAAGUUUUGAUCAAAAAUUAAUUUAGAAUUAAUUAAGUGAUCAAAAGAUAACUAAUUAGAUGUAUGGGUAGAUUAAGUAAAUCUUCCAUAUCUUAUAUAGUGGGCUAAGAGGCUCCAUGGAUUGUCAAGUUGGGUUCCACCCGUAGGAUGCUCCAUGGAGUUAACCCAUGGAUCAAGAAAUGAAGAGUCAUGGAACAUUAGGGUUUACCUAAUGCAACACACUAUAUAAGCAAUGUAAGUCUCCCCAAAAUCGGCUACACUAAGAAAUAAGAGGGCUUGGCCGAUUUUGCAAGUGUUAGAGUAUUCUCUCAAGUUUAUUCUUUGCAAUUGGUGUUGUGUGAAGCAUCUGAGGCAUCACACUUGAGGUGCUAGGCUCACAAGGUUUCAAGGAACACUUUCAACAUCAAGGUAUAUAGUUCUAUAUUUUAUAUAAAGAAAAUUGUACCCCAUGUAUGCUAGAUAGGUUCAUAACCUUGGAAAAAAACUUUGCAUGAUUAUUAGACAAACAUAGAUCCAAGGUUAUUAAGGUUGCAUGUACACUUAGGAAGUGUUAGAAUGCUCAAAACCCAUCAAUUGUUCCCUCCUUGGACUAAAGAGACACUGAUCAAAGAAGCCAUAGAGUCUCCAAGCUCACUCUGACUGGAACCUGUGACUUCGUUUGAUUGUGAUAAUACAAGGGAUUCAUAGUUUGAUAUGCCUAUAACCCGAAAGGCAUUCGUUUUUCACUUCUUUGAUUCAACUGUUGAAGUUCCUUCACCUCAUCCUAAAGUCGAACGUGAACUGAUUGAUUUUUUACAUCAAGUUCGGUUAGCCUCAGUAUCUGACCUGAAGUGCUCAGAAGAUUACUACUGUGAAGGCGCUGAAGCCGUCGCCUACAGGGAAGUUUAUCAAUGUCUCUUUCACGAUAAACCGAGGUUCGAAUAUCUCGGUUUCUGUCAUUUCCCUAGCAGACCUUCACAACCUGAAUCCUCAUGAUUGGAUCCUGCUCUUCAACAUUUUUCUUACUAAUGCAAAGGAGUAUGGACAAAUUUUGGAACAUCUAAAACGAAUGAUAGCUUGUUAUAUCCACGAAGUUGCGAAAUGGAUCAGGAAGUGGAUAAUGUCUUGAGAAAGAAACCGAUGGUGAAGCCAAUUACAAAGCCAGGAGAUGUCAACAAAAUGACUCUCGGUCAAAUAGAUUCUGCUCACCUUACGGUCAUGUUUAUAAGAGCCAAAGGGGAAAGGUUCUUGUUUGCUCUGGUGGAUAAACAUUUAUUCUCUACUAACUGCCUAGAACACAUCAUCAAUAUCAUUCAUCGGUGCAAGGAGAAUUCCGAGUCAGGUAAGAAGAACUUCACAUACAUGCUCUGGUGGUAUAUUACUUUCAGACAAACUCUUUUGGCGAUUAUACCGGGUGUGUUCAAGACUGUGAAGAAGUCAGUGAUAGCUCAACCGAACUGAGCUCUUGGCUCCAUUGUCGCAAAUGGGGAGAUUGUUGGGUAUUAUGUUUUGUGUCAUGGGCUAGUAUUUUGUAUAUCCAGUUUGGGCCUGUCCAACCGUGAUUAGGGUUAUGUAGUAUUAUAUAUAGUGCAUGUAUGUAUGCCUUAAAUAUGCUAGGAUUUUGAUUAUCUUUUUUAUUGUAAUCCUAAACACUUCUACAGUCGAAGUUCUUCAUUGAGCUAUUCUGGGGUGUUAAAGUUUAAUCAUUCUACAUCGUUUAAACCAUUCUUGUGUUCUUCACUGUUUCAUUUAUUGCUUUUCUGCUUGAAUCUAUUUAUCAUUAAGGAAUAUUAUUCCUACAUUUAUAGUUCAAUUUAACAUAAUGGAUACUUAAAUUAAACCUUUUGCUUGCAAAUGACACCAAAUAAACAAGGAAAAUUGAAUACGCCAGUAAAUUUGUAUGGGGUUUGUGGAAACAAAUUGGCUAUACGACAACACAAAUGAAGGAUUAACUAGCUUGGUAAGCCCAUAACAACUACACAAAAAUGAAGUAGAAACAAUAGCCGAGGGAAAGAAGAAUAACAUAGCAAACCAUGCAGACAAUUCGAAAAGUACGGAACGUAGCAAGUAUUACAAGUUCCAUGACUCCACCGGGCAUGAAACCAUAGAAUGUACCAUGCUGAGAAGGGGAUUGGAGAAAAAGAUGCAAGCCGAUCAACUAUGUAAUUUGAUAAAAGGGUUCUGUCCAAGGAACCAUUGAGUAUCACACCGAUAGAACCCAAAAUCAACAACUCGGGCAAAAGCAAAACCUUCAUGUUUAGACAACCACAAUAGUUAAAAGCAAGUCAAGAUUGGGAAGGAGACAAACUAACGUUUGAUGAAUGGGACUACCACAACAACAACCAUAUAUGAGAUGAACAAAUGGUCAUCAUGAGAUUCAUAGGAAAGAAGUAUGUAAAUGAUAUAUAUAUAUAUAUAUAUANNNNNNNNNNNNNNNNNNNNNNNNNNNNNNNNNNNNNNNNNNNNNNNNNNNNNNNNNNNNNNNNNNNNNNNNNNNNNNNNNNNNNNNNNNNNNNNNNNNNNNNNNNNNUUGGUUUCUUAAAUUAAUAAAUUAAAUAAAUGAAACAUGAUUUAUAUAGUUAUAUCAUCAAUGAAUAAUGAUAUAGUUAGUUGAUGUUAAGUUUAGAAAGUUAAAAGUCGAAAUAACAACACUUUAUAGCGAAAGGGAAAACAGUUUCAACUUGGCAAAGUGACUUGACCAAGAGUUAAACUACUUAAUGAAAAAUACACCACCAAGUUUAUAUAAUGUAUGAGGAAGGACUUAUUAUGUCGAAACUUAAUUUAAAAUCACAAAUAUUGAGAUUUAGUAGGUUUUUGCUAAAACAAGUGAACUAAAAAGACCAUAUGUGAAAAAGUGGGGGAAAUAAGAUGUAUACAUUCCUCACUCUCUCUUUCAAACAUGUUUUGCCUCCAAGGAAACCCUCUCAUGGUGGUUUCUUCAUCUUUUUUACAUCUAGGGUUUGAAUCAAGCAAUUUGUGAAGCAUCUAAUCAAGAAGGGAAGCAAUCAAAGUCUUGUAAGGUGUAAAUCAUUCUCCUCUAACUCUAUGUUUUUGAGUUCAUCAUUGAAAUUGAACCCCCAAUGUUGAUUUUGGGUUCAACUGAUUAUUAUGGUUUGAUUUUUAACCUACCUUGAGUGGUUUCCAUGGUUUAAAUAUCAAUCCAAUCAUCUUGAUGAUGGAUUUGAUGAUUUUGGUAAAAAUCUCGACGAACCCUAGAAAUCUAAUUUGGGGAAUCAAUGAUCUAGAUAAUGGUUGAUGGCAAUGAAUCCAAUUGGCAAGCUUAAACAUUAACAACUUUUAGAGUGGUGAGAAGGAAAUGCAUUUUCUUGUGCCAAUGAUGAAAAUCAUUUCUUUCAAAGUUAUCAAAUUUCAUGAAUUUGGAACUGAUUUCCCUGACACAUUCUGCUAUUGAUAUUUUUACAAAAUCACAAAUUUUGAAUGUUAGAUUUUAGGUUCUAAGAAUAUCAAUAUGUACUUGGAUAACUUUUAGGAUCGUGAUUGUAACCACUUUCCAAAAUCCGUGAUUUCGACCGGUAUGUCUGCGGUAUCACGAAAUCUGACUUGGGAUCAUCCAAGAGAGACAAUUUAGAAGUUAGACCACUUCCAAAUCCGAAACACAGAAAGUAUCUUGCUACAUGCAUUUUGAGAGAUAUAGAGAAUCUGAUAAUCAGAUUUUGAGUAUAUAUAAUCUAACCAUUUUAUGGAACAUUCAACAUGUUCUUAUACAGGGAAGAAAGUGUUGGAUUAGGUAUCUAUGCCCAUAACUAUAAUUGGUAUGUACUUGAAUUGAUAGUAGCACAGUCCUUUUGGGUUGCUCUCAAAGCUAGUAAUUAGACAAGGAAAUUAUGAAAGGAGAGAAUUAAUUUAUUAUAAGAUUAAUAAAUUAAUAUAAAUGAUUUAUUAAUAUGUUAUGAAAAUAAUAUAUUAAUUAAAAAUCAUAAUCUUUAAUUAAUAGUUAGCCCGAAAUUAACUAGAAUUGAUUUUGGGGUUAAUUGUAUUAAUUAUAAAGUACAGGGACUAGUUUUCAAUUAUUAAAUAGUUAGAAAGAAUGUUCUAGAACCUCCAUGGAGGAGGUGGACGAAAUUCAUAGGGGAAACCCUAAUGAAUUCGUCCAAGGCUUGGAUAAGGCUUCUAGAUUAGCUUGGGGCUUAAACAAAGGAAUUCUAGGGUUAUCCCUUAAACCCUAGCUUUGAGGCUAAGUUACCUCAACUAUAAAAGGAGCCUCCUAGCUCCUAAAUUCCGUCCAUCCCUUUAUCUGGAGAAACCCUAGCUGAAAAUUGCAUACCCUCUCUUCUNNNNNNNNNNNNNNNNNNNNNNNNNNNNNNNNNNNNNNNNNNNNNNNNNNNNNNNNNNNNNNNNNNNNNNNNUAUAUAUAUAUAUAUAUAUAUAUAUAUCCCUUAUUUCUAGCUCUUGGGUGUAAUUCCAUUAUAGGCAUUACAAUUGUGGUGCUAGGCUUCCAAGAAGAUCAAGAUCCAAGGAUUACCAAUUGUUUACUUUAACAAUUGAAAGGUAUUUAAUUCUAAAACCCUAAUUAGUUAUUUUCAAAAAUAGCCUCUUCCCUUAGGGUUCUUGUUUUGCAAUUCAAAGUUUUAUGCUCAAUAGUUAAAACAUAGAUUCAAAGUAGGUUGCAUGUGAACAUAGAAAUUUUUUUCUAGUUUAUUUGUUUUACCUAAAACCCAUCAGUAAUAUCAGAUCCAUUGGUUUUUUUAAAUUACAUUGCUAUAAUAGUUAAAUUGUAAAUUAGGUUUUAUAGCUAUUAAACCCUAAAUGCUAUGGUUUCGUUUUAAAGGUUUUGGUUUGAAAGGUUUCCGAAAAACCCUAGCCUCCAUAAACCCUAAUUGAAAUUAGGGAUAGGGUUUUGAAAAACCAUAGCCUCUCUCCCUUGACUUCGAAAUUACCUUAGGGUUUUAGGGUUCCUCGUUUGGAUAUUUGUUAUUUAAUUGGAUUAAUUGGAUAAUUGAUAACAUAAGGAAAUUAUACUCUACCCUAAAUUUUCGAAAUCUAGAGGGUUUAGGAUUAUGAUUAAAUUAAUUGUUUAAUUUAGUAAGAUAAUCCUCCCAAGAUUUAAUAAAUUAAUAAAAAGUUAAUUAAUAGUUAAUUAUUGAAUCUAGUUUUUGGUUUAUUUUGAAUUUAAAACUAAUUGUCUAAUUUUUCGAAAAUUUAUAUAAACCUUAAAGUUUUAAAAAGUUUAAAACACACCUUGUAUAUAUAUAUAUAUAUAUAUAUAUAUAUAUAUAUAUAUAUAUAUAUUAUAAUUAAAAGUUAAAUAUUAUAUAUGUAUAAGAAUUGGUCAGUCGAAUCGCUAGUAUGCCUCAUUCAUGAAACUAUUCUAUAAGGGGGUAUAAGAAAACUGCCUAUAAAAUGAUAGUUGAAUACGUGCCCACUCUCACCUACCACUUCGUUGAUUAGUGGAGGGUCGUUAGUAGAACGGAUUUGAUAGGACAACUUAAUCUCAUUAAAAGUAGAAUGUUAUUAAUAAGGUACUAGAACAUUAUUUUUACAAAAUCCCAACUCUAGUUACUUUAGGAAAAAUGUGAAUUGUAUACUAACCCAUGAAAUUGCACAUUACACUUUAUAAGUCAUUAGUGUAGCGUGUGUGGUUAACCAUCACACCAAUAUGGACUAAUAAAGAGUCGUAAUGGGUAUCUCAUAAUUAUCAUUAUUUAUGAAGCGUGUGUGGUUUACCAACACAUCAAUAGAAGAUGAUAAAGACAAUGAGGUUACCAAGCACAUUUGCAUGGUUAUUCACAUCUUGUUUGUGAUCCUCGGUAUCCCAGUCACAAAUAGAAUAGCAUAAUCUGAUAUUAAAACAUGCCAUUGAAUAGUUUCAAUGUAACUAAAAGAAUUCGGAAUUUCACUUCAUUUCAUUUUGUCUAAUGGUGGAAUUGGUGAAUCGUCAUUCACCUACCUUUAUGAAAUUUGCACUUGGAUCUUGGCAUCCCAUUUCUAAGUUGCGAACCCUCAUAGUUGGAUCCAAACCUUAAUAUUGUAUUUUUGGGAUAUUAUAUUGAUGUAUCAUGAGAUCUAACUAAAACUAUCUUUCUUUUCAGAUGUUUACUCCUGGAUACACUUCUGCUUCAUUAUCUUCCAACCAAGAUUUCUCUUUCCUCUCCAUUUGCUCCAGAGUGGUUAUGGAUGGCAUGAACUAAAAUGACUGGAUGCAUAACAUUAAAAUGGCGCUUCUAUUUGAGGACAAAGAGUAUGUCAUUGAGAAGGAGCUCAUUGAUAUUGAUGAAACCAAAGCCACUCCCGAAGAAUAUGCUACCUACAAGAAGCAUUAUAACGAUGCAACCAAAGUAUCUUGCAUCAUGGUCACAACCAUGUCUCUCGAAUUCCAAAAGUACUAUGAGGACUACUGGACCUUUACCAUAAGAGAGCUAUAAGGAAUAUUAGGACUAUUGAACCUUUGUCUAGGAAGGGUCGGCACACCCGAUUCAUUAAAUCCAUGAAUAACGCGAGUACGUUCGUUAAACCGAAAGGCAUUACUACAAACUCGUAGUGACCAUAACGAGCUCGAAAUGCUGUCUUAGGAACAUCAAUCUCAUGGAAUCGUAAUUGGUGAUACCCCAAUCUCAGGUCUAUCUGUAACAUCCAUAAAAUUUGAGCAAAUUUAAAACUUUUUAAAUCAUUUAAAACCAUUCAAUUAUUAUAAUAUGUUUUCAAAAUAGUUUAAACAUCAGAGUUCCUAGAAAUCAUAAUGAUCAAUCGAGGAAGUGUACGGUCAUGCCUUCGCCUUCCCAUGACCAUCCGAUGAACCUGAAACAAUAAACUAAAAUUGUAACCCCGAAAGCUUAGUGAGUUACCCCCAAAAUACCAAUAUCAUAACCAUAAUCAUAUCAUAUCAACAAAUAGAAAACAGCAUGCAUAAUGAGCCUUCAGCCUGGACCGCCUCGCAGGGCCUAUAGCCUAUCUGGACCACUCCUGAGCCUUUAGCAUGAAUGGACCACCCUCUCGGGGCCUUCAGCUUAUCCGAACCGCUCGUCGGGCCUUCGAUCUGACUAGGUGCCCUUCUGAGACUACAGUCUGUGUUGGAUUAGUGUCUAAGCCCGUAACUAUAUUUGGUAUGUACUUGACCCAGUUGUGCAUGGUCCUUUUGGGUUGCCUUCACCAAAGCAACUUGACAAGGUUAUUUAGGAGAGAGAGAAGAUAUUAUGAUUUAUUAAUAUAUUAUACGAAUAAUGUAUUAAAGGAAAAACUCAUAUUAUUUGAUUAAUAUUAGUCAUAAACUAAUUAGGAAUUAAUCUGGUGACUAAAAGAGAUUAAUUGAAUAAAGGGGCAUGAACUGUCAUCUGUGUAAUAGUUGAGUUUUGGGCUGGGAAACCUAAUGGACUAAGGGGGAACGAAAUUAUGAUGGUGAUCCAUCAUAUUUUCGUCCAAAGGCCCUAAUCUAGAAGGUUCCAUGGGCUGCUUGGUGACAAAGCUGUCCAUUAGGGUUGCAAUUUUCGGUACCUUGACUCCAUGGGCUGCUUGGGAAACCCUAGCAGCCUACACUAUAAAUAGAGGCCCUUGGUUGCAAUUUUCGGUACCUUGACUCCAAGUGAAACCCUAGGGCCGAAUUUUAGUGUUCUUCCUCCUCUCUCAUAAUAGCCUUCUUGCUUGUGGUGUUUGUGAACCAUUAGAGGAGUUACAAUUGUGACUCUAAGCUCAAGAUUAAGAAGAUUCAAAGGAUUGCAAGCCAAUUGAAAGAGGUAAACACUUAGAUCUGUUCUUAUAGUGUUAAUUUCGAAUUAUACAUGCUAUAUCUAGGGUUACAAGUCUUGGAUUAAUUUCAUGUACAAUAGAGAAGCCUAGAUCCAAGCUUUAGGGUUUUGCAUGAGCACAUAGGAUGUUCUUUUGCUUUAAAACCAUUAGUGGUAUCAGAGCCUUGAUUGGUUUUUGUUGUAUGUGAUGUAAUUGUUGGUUUUUUUGCUGAAAAACGUUUUUUUUGGCCUCUGCCCGACCCAACUCGGCGAGUCAGUAUCUGGACUCGGCUAGUUGGCCCAACUCGGUGAGUCCAGUAACUGACCCGGCAAGUUCGGGAGUCAGACAGAGCAUAUCUCGGGAUUUCUUGCUGUUUUGCUAUAGGAUAAAUGCGAAAAUCGUUUUUUAAUAAUAAAAUCCGAAUUUUAUUGUAUUUAAAUGAUUAUACUUGCCAAAACAAAAGAUAAUUUCAAAUAUUUUGAAUAAUAGUUUCUUUAUAUGAUAAAUAUGGAUUAUUUAAAUUAUUUGGUAAUUAUCUUGUGACUAAAAUUGGAUUAGGUCAAAUAUAGAUAAUUAUAAAAUUAAUUUUUUAAUUUAAAUUAUUUGUUAUUUGAUCACUUGUGUUUUGAAAAGUUCAAAACUUGUCCUCAAGUUUUGAAAUUUAAAUUUUAUGAUUAAAAGUUUAAUUUUGAAUGAUUUAAAUUUCAAACCCUUAGAAUUUUACAAGUUUAAAAUUCAACCCUAUACUAUUAUAUUAUUNNNNNNNNNNNNNNNNNNUAUGUAUAACUUAAACUACUAGUCUUACCGUUAGUAGGCCUCAUUCACGAAGCCGAUCUAUAAGGGGGUAUAAGGUUAUGGCCUAUAAAAUGGCCGUUAAAUGGGUGUCCACUCUUACCCAUCACUUCCUUGAUUGGUGGAGGGUCGCUGAACGGGUAGGAUAGCGCAAUCCUCUCCUCUUUAAAAGUAUAAUGAAUGAUACAAAGUAACUACAACGUUUUUAAAAAAAUUCCCAAUCUUAGUUUAGGAUAAAAUGUGAAAAUGAUGCUACUCCAUGGAAUUACACUUUGUACCAUUGUCAAACGUUAGUGGAGCAUGUGUGGUUAACCGGCACACUAAUUUGGGAUUGACAUUGGUAGCGAAGGGUGGCUCGAUGUUUGUCAUAGAACAAUGGAGCGUGUGUGGUUUACUGGCACAUUGAUUAGGUGAUAGAGACAUUGAGUGCACCAUGUUGAUUCACAUGGUUAUUCACACCUUGUUCGUGAUCCUCGGUAUCACAGUCACAAACUUGAAUGACAUAUCGCGAUUUAAACAUGCCAUUGAAAAGUUCAAUGAAUCUCAAAAGAAUCUAGGAGUUUUCAAAUACAUUUAAAACAUAAAUUCUUUUCGUUUUUCAUGGUGGAAAUUAGUGAAUCGUCAUUCACUUACCUUCAAAUUAUUUGCAUCUAGAUUAUGGAAUCCCUUUUCUAAGUUUUGAAUAAUGUUGUUAGAUCCUAGCCCUAAUUUUUCAUUUGGGUGUUUAAUUGGGGGUUCAUUUCUAAUCAAACUUUGUUCCUUUCUAUUUCAGAUGUCUGCUAACAACAACGCUUCUGGGUCAUUCUCACUGAUGAACCUAUGUCAAAAUGUGACAUUUAAUGGGUCGAAUUUAAACGAGUGGAUGAGGAACAUUCGCAUGAGCACUCGCUACGAGGACAAAUAAUAUGUCCUCGAUGAGAAGCUUGAAAAGAUCAUCCCAGAUGUUGCUACUCUAGAAGAGUUGGCCGCCUUUGAGGCCCACGAGCAUGAUGCUAUGAAAGUUCAUUGCAUCAUGUUGGCCACCAUGAACCUCGAACUCCAAAAGUCCUAUGAGGACAUGUAUCCGUAUGAAAUGCAUCAAGAUUUAGUGGACAGGUACCACCAAAGCGCGAGGCAAGAGCACUAUGAGAUCAUUACUAACAUGAUCACCGCUAAGAUGGGGAGUGGAGAAUCCCUAACCUCUCAUUUGUAGAAAAUGCAGAGGCAUGUUGAUCGUCUUCUCAAACUUAAUGUUAAGUUUGAUGAGGAUUUGUCUAUCGACAUCAUCCUUCACUCCUUGCCAUCCUGCUACAACCAGUUCAGAAUGACCUACCACAUGAAUAAGGAAGAGGUUUCCUUGAGUAAGCUUCAAGGUCUGCUGAGAGCAACCUCAAGGACAAAUCUGUUGCACCAUCCCCUAUUAUGCCUACUCCUGUGUUGGCAAUUGGCCAAGGGAAGGGAAAGAAGAGGAAGGCUCCUUCAAAGAGCCAAUAAAAGGGAAAGUCCCGUGAUGGUUCAUCCUCUAGUGGUACUAAAGCAGGUUCUGCUAAACCCUCCUCCGACCCUAAGGAAGUAGAGUGGUUCUAUUGCCACGAGAAGGGCCACUGGAAACGAAGUUGCCCUAAAUAUCUACAGGACAUUAAGUGUGGGAAGAUAAAGCCCACCUUCACAAAUAUUAAAUCUAACAACUCAUCACUUUCUACUUCAUGAGUUCUUGAUACAGGAUGUGGUUUUCACAUUUGUUCUGAUUUGCAGGGCCUAAGAAGAAGUAGGGCGGUGGAGCAUGGGAACAUAAACUUGAUUAUGGGAAACAGAAGAUUGUCGCCUGUGACCAAAGUCAAAGUUUAUUAUUUAGUGUUAAGUAAUACGUUAGGGUUAGAUUUAAACAAUUGUUGCUAUUCAUCAGAUAUGGCAAAGAACAUCAUUUCUUUUCAUGGAUUAUAUAGAUAGGGUUUCAGAUAUUCAUUUGAUAAUAGUAAUGGUUCUAUUAAUGUUUAUUUGAAUGGUGUUUUUUAUUUCAAUGCAUUUCCUUGUAAUGGAAUGUAUGAAUCUGUGUUGGUUGCAGACAAUUUAGGAAAUGAUGUGUUGAAUAUUGAUUCUUCUAAUAGUCUAGACAAAGCAUGCAUGUGGCAUUGUCGCCUUGGCCAUGUUAACAAGAAACGCAUAGCCCAGCUCCAAAAGGAUCGAGUGUUGGAGUCAUUCGACCUUAGGGACGAUGACGUGUGUGAAUCUUGUUUACUUGGGAAGAUGACCAUGUCACCCUUUUCUGGCACUUGUGAAAGGGGUGAGGGUCUAUUGGAUCUCAUACACACCUAUGUGUGUGAGCACUUUAGAUCCACCACAAGGGAUGCUUGCCGCUUCUACGUGACUUUUACGGAUGAUUAUAGUAGAUAUGGAUAUAUCUAUUUAAUCAAGCGUAAGUCGGAAACCUUUAAGGAGGAGAGUACCUAAGUCUUGAGUUUCACGACUAUCUAAAGGAAUGCAGAAUUGUUUCGUAAUUGACGCCUAUGAGAACGCCACAAUUGAAUGGUGUGGCUGAGAGAUGUAAUCAGACCUUGUUAGACAUGGUUCGUUCUAUCAUGAGUCGGGCUUCGUUACCAAUAGAUUUUUAGGGGUAUGCCUUGGAGACUACCGCCCAUAUCGUUAACCUAGUUCCCACCAAGAAGGUUGCCAAAACACCUCAUGAGAUGUGGACAGGGAAAGCUACCUCGUUGGCACAUAUUAAGGUUUAGGGUUGCGAGGCUUUCACAAGACGAGAGACUCAAGACAAGCUCGAACCUCGUAGUGAGAAGUUUUAUUUCAUCGGCUAUCCACAGAAGUCCUUUGGCUAUCUCUUCUAUAGACCGAGUGACAAUGUUGUCUUCGUUGCUAGAAGAGGGGUUUUCCGAGAAAGUGAACUCAUAGGCCAAGAGGACAGUGGGAGGAAAAUUAAUCUUUAAGAGAUUCAAGAGCAAAGCGAUGAAGGAACUUCUAACACUGGCACUCAACAUGUUGAUGAGUUUUUACCUCUUAGAUGUUCCAGUAGGGCUAGUGUUCCACCCCAGUUGUAUGGAUUCCAUAUUACUACUGAAGGGGAUACAUUUAUUGGUGAUAGUACACUAGUAAAUUUGGACGAACCUAACAGCUACAAGGAAGCCAUGGCAGACCCAGAGUCUGCUAAGUGGAAAGAGUCUAUGGAUAGCGAUAUUCAGUCCAUGUACGACAACCAAGUUUGGAAUUUGGUUGACAAUGUGUCGGGUCGUAAGACAGUCGGGUGCAAGUGGAUCUUCAAGAAGAAAACAGACAUGGAUGGGAAUGUGCACACUUAAAAAGCACAAUUGGUGGCGAAGGGCUUUACUCAAACUCCUGAAGUUGACUAUGAUGAGACCUUCUUCCUAGUUGCUAAGAUAAAGUCUAUUAGGGUGAUGCUCGCAAUAGUUGUGUUUCAUGAUUAUGAAAUAUGGCAGAUGGAUGUGAAACUGCUUUUCUUAAUGGAAAGUUGGCUGAGGAUGUUUACAUGAAUCAGCCAUAGGGUUUUGUCAAUGUGAAGCAUCCGGAUAGAGUGUGUAAGCUUGAGAAAUCCAUUUAUGGAUAGAAGCAAGUGUCUUGUAGAUGGAAUCUUUGUUUUGAUGAGAAGGUUAAAGAGUUUGGUUUUCUACGAAGCGAAGAUGAAUCGUGUGUGUAUAUCAAGGCCAGUGGGAGUAUACUGAGCUUCCUCAUAUUAUAUGUUGACGACAUAAUACUCAUAGGAAACGACGUCCCAACCUUGUAGGAGGUCAAGUCCUGGCUUGGGAAGUGUUUUUCUAUGAAGGACCUCGGAGAGGCUACAUAUAUUCUAGGUAUAAGGAUAGUAAGAAGCAGAAGUAAGAGACUGAUAGGACUCAGUCAGGAUACAUACUUGGAUAAGGUACUAAAGCGUCUUAGUAUGGAAAAUUCCAAGAAAGGGGAGUUGCCAAUCGAAAGCAAUACCAAGUUGAGUAAGACUCAAAGCCCGAGUAUAGAAGCUGAAAUAGCUGAUAUGAGCCGAGUACCUUACGCUUUCGCAGUUGGCUCGAUCAUGUACGCUAUGACUUGUUGUAACACCUGGUUCCUGGUACGUAUUUUUAAAUUAAGUAUUUUGCAUUUUGGCCUGGGACUCGGCGAGUUGGUGGCUCAACUCGUCGAGUAGAAGCGCAUUGGAUACGGGAGUUAAGUGGCUGACUCGGCAUGUCAAAGACCGGACUCGACGAGUCCAUGCUGUCUGGACAAAAACCCUAAUAUGAGGGUUUGCACCCUAUAUAAAUGCCUUAACUCAACCUCCCUUGUCCCUAACACUCUCCUAGAGCUGGAUAUCAAAACCCUAGCCGUUUGUGUGUGUGUGUUAAGGCCAUUUUGGUGCUUUUGUUGACUUGUGAAGCUUGGAAGGAAGAAGAGGAGCUUGAAUAUUCGACUAGCGACUUGUGGAUCCAGAAAUCUCAUUCCAUCUUCAGCUUAAUCAAGGUAAAAUGCCCCUGUUUUGGUCUUUCUUUUGGUGGUUCAUCUUUAGAUUGUAAAUCUUGGGUGCAUUUAGGGGUUUUCAAGCCAUUUUUGGAUUUAAGGAGUGUUAUAUGGACUCUAGCUUUAGAUCUGGGCCUUAAGAGGGGUCUCAUGGCAUAAAGGUGCCAACUUUAGGGCCAUGAGAGCCCCAUGCACAUUGUAGGACCCAUUAUAUGGAUUUUGAGCUAAAAACCCCAUGCAUGUGCAUCACGUUUGGAACUUUACGUAUAAAAUGGACAUUAGGAGGACAGAUCUAUGGUUUUGGUGUGUUAGACCUCAUUUAAAUCGACUGUAUGGAAUUGGUUAAGGGUGGACUCGGCAAGUUGUUCUUGGCACUCGAAGAGUCGGUGACCAUUGUGCACCAAACCCUUCCUGUGAAUGGGUAAAUGUUAGGAAGGAAGUCCUUUGUGGGUUUAGACGUGAAAAGGGACCUGGAAGCCAUAGGACUCGGCAAGUGGUAUGAGCAGACUCGGCGAGUCCAUAGCAAUCUCCUAAUCUUUGAAGAUGGACUCGACGAGUUGUUCAUACAACUCAACGAGUCAUAGACUGGACAAGUUCUUAAGUUGGAGAUGAACUCGACGAGUUCAAGGAGGAACUCGACGAGUCGGAUGAAGAUGGUCCCGAUGUUAUUACUGAAGGAGAACCCAUCGAGUUUCGCUAGACUCGACGAGUGGAGCCGGGAUUUUGUGUGGGUUUAGUGAAGCAUGGAUUCGACAAGUUGGUUGGCCAACUCGGCGAGUCAGGUCAACUGAAUGUUGACUUUGACCAGUGUUGACUUUGACUGAACUUGGGUUGACCCUGUUUAGGGUUGUAUGUGGUUUGUGUUGACUUGGAGGUUGUCGUGUAGGGAUCGAGGAGUUGUAGGGAGUCGACUUGUGAACUAAAGAUAUUUCAGACACUACACGACAUUGAGGUGAGUUACCUUCCAGGAGGGGUGGGUCUAAGGCCACAAUGCCGGCCCACCAAAAGGGGUAUUUAUAAGAUAAUGGUCUUUGUGAUAAUUAUCUUGGUCUGGUUAUGUGAUUUAUCUGGAUUAUAUGUUAUGUGUUUAGUAGGGAUUAGUUUCCCCAACAAUGGUCCGUGGGACCCAAGGGUAGGUCAGUACCCGGAUAUGCCUGACUGUAUGCUUAUAUCUGUUGAUUGCAUGUUAGUAAUAGGGGGUGAAAUAGUCCCCAGUUACCGGUUGAAAGAUACCGAUGCUGAUUACCGGUUGGAAGAUACCGAUGAUGGCUACCGAUUGAAAGAUACCAAUGAUUGUUACCGGUUGAAAGAUACCGAUGAUGGUUACCAGUUGAAAGAUACCGAUGAAUGUUAUCGGUUGAAAGAUACGACAAUAUCGUAUGGUAUGUGGUAUGAUGGGGGAAUUCACUAAGCUUUAUGCUUACAGUUUUGGUUUUGGUUUCAUGUACCUCUUCGUCGAAGGGGAAAGAGCCGGCGGCGAAGCAGCGCAUCACACACACUCACAUGAUCCGCAAGAAGAUUUGGGACUGUACUCUGAUUUUCAAUACUUAAGAUGUUAUGGGUUGAAAUACAACAUUAUGAUUUUGUAUUGGAUGUUUUUAUUAUCAAUGUUUUGGUAAAAUGUUUGCUAAAUGUGUUGAUUCAAAAAUGAAAUUUUUGGCCUUGAAAACUGGGUCGUUACAAGUUGGUAUCAGAGCCCUGGUUUGAUGGAUUUGGACACACCCUCGGGGGUGUCUGGACUCAAACCGAGGGACUAAAAGAUCUUUAAAAAAAUGGUUUUCUAAAGGCUAAACUGAGAAAUUUUAAGAAAGGCGAAGUGUGUGAUGCGUGCGACCGGACGGGCUUAAGUAAGUUUUCCUCAAGAUACCCAUACUUGUUAUGUUAUAUUAUAUGGUUUUGAUUCAGAAAACUGCAUGCUAGAAUAAGGCUAAGGAUCUAGGAGGAUGCCUUGUGUGCCUGAUAUUUGAUUCUGAGAAUUGAAUGCUAGUUAGGGAUAAGGAUCUAAGAAGGAUGCCUUAUGUGCCUGUUGUAUGAGUUGUAUGCUAGGACUGUUUAGUCAGCAGCAAGAUGGCCUGUGUAGGUUAUGCCUGGUUUAGUUACUCAAUGCACGAAUGCUGCUUGCUUUGUGCUAUGGGGGUUCUGACCAGCUUCAACUAGCUAACGAGCGGAUGUGUAAUAGUAUCCACAAGCUAGUUAGGGGGAGGUGGUAGGGACUUCUAGUGCAGCUAAGGAAGCCUAGGGUGAGGUCAGUGAAAAGGGUAUCAGAAAAAGGGUCUGGGGGAAUUCGAAGCAAUUCUUGGGGAAAGUACGGAUAGAUAUGGAAGGUAGUAUGGGCCCGUACUACUGAAAGUAGAGGAUCCAUACUUGAACCAAGGAGGGCCUAGAUGGAAUCGGGAAACUUGGAAAGUAUAUGUGACCCUGACAUUCGUAUGUUUAUUUUUCAGAAUGGUGGUCACGCGACAUGGGGCAAGAGGUUCAGGAUCCAGGUCAGGAUCGGGCUUAGGGGCAGGAUCCGAGCAUGUGGAUGAUGAGUUACGCGAGUUCAUUGUGUCCGAGAUCACGAGGGGUAUCCUUGAUGCGACACCGAUUAUCUUCGGCUCGAUCAAGGAGGGGAUCAUUGAGCUGAUGGAGGAUUGCCUCAGGGCGUUCCGGAGUGACACGGCGGCUAGCCAGUCAGGACCACACACACUGUCCUUUAAGGACUUCAGAGGGAGUGGUACGGUAGAUUUCCACGGGACAUUAAGUCUGCACAGCUGACCAGCUUCUGCCCUGAGGGGUCGAAGGUACGAUUUGCAGUAGGGUGUUCGAUGGACCGGGAUGGGGACUAGUGGGAGUCAGUUGGUGACUCUUUGGGAGCCUCGACUGUUGAGGCUAUGACAUGGUCGGAUUUUGUGACCCGGUUUAGAGCAGAGUUUAUGCCAGCUGUAGAGCUUCAGCAGCUGGCCAGGGAGUUCUUGGAUAUGAGACAGACUACGGAGACUGUGGCGGAGAUUAUCACCAAUUUCUGGGAGUGGGCUUUGUUGGUUCCCCAGUAUGCGGGUGAUGAGGACAUGAAGAGGACCCGCUACCAUGACACGCUACGAGCUGACAUCCGGGAGCAUGUUAUAUUUUUAGCUUGCCCUACCUUGGAUGCCAUGAUUGCCAGGGCUAGGGAGAGGGAGAUUGAUCUGGAGCAUAUCCAGAAGAGGAAGGCAGAGGAAGGGCAGACAACAGGGGCUUCAGGGAAGAAGCCCAAGAGAGCCGAUCGUAGGCCGAAGGGCCAGUCAGGGCGGGACCGUUGUGGAAAAUACGGUCGGUCACACGAGGGAGCUUGUUGCACUGGGCCGGGUCCAGGCUUCUAUAAGUACGACAAGAUUGGGCAUUUUGGCAGGGAUUGUACUGCCCCUACUCCUGCAAUUCAGAUAUCUGACCUGAUUUGCUUUCAUUGCAAUCGGAGGGCCAUAAAAAGGCCAAUUGCCCUAGAUUGACAGCAGCAGCGGCAACGGCGCCGGCAGUGGCGCCGACUCUGCGACAGCACGGGUGGUGGAUGGCCGGAAGGCCAAGUUAGAGGCUUUAGUGGUUCGGAGCCGAACAUUUCAGCUGACAGCCGAGGAGGCAUGCGCUGCACCCGAUGUGGUGAUGGGUAUGAUUUCUUAUCCUUAUGCUUUAUAAUAUGUCGCUGUGAUUUUGAUAUUGUUGGGUUUUGAGCAUUCUAACACUCCUAAGUGUACGUGCAACCCUAAAUACCUUGGAUCUAUGUUUUCUCUAUUAUUUAUACAAAUAUGAACAUCCAAGGUAUUAUCCUAAUCUAGCAUACAAAACAAUGAAUAUAACAAGAUAGAAUACAUACCUCUUUCAUGUAGAAAGUCUUCAUGAAGCUUGAGUGCCUAGUGCCUCAAGUGUGACACCUCAAAUGGUUCACACAAAACCAAAUACACUUGGAAUAACUUGAGAGAAACUUGAACACUCCAUGAAAUCAUUUAGCUCUCUCACACACACACACAUAGUGCACGAUUUCUUGAGCCAUGGGAUUCUUUUAUAUGGUGGCUAUUAGGGUUACACCAUGUAACUCAUGACUUUACCCUUCCUUAUGCUCCAUGGAUUUUAACCUCCAUGGAGUAUCCAUGGGUCACCCCAUGGACUUAGUCCAACAUAAGGAAUCUUGGAUCACAAGCCCACAUAUAUAAGAAUGAAUGAUUUACACAAUCAACCCAUAUAUUUAAUUAGUCUCCUUUUGAUCACUUAAUUAAUUCCAAAUUAAUUCUUGAUCAAUACUAAUUAAAUAACCUUAUUAAUAUAUUAGAACUUAUAAUAUAUUAUCAAACCUUAAGUGUUAUUUCUCUCAUUAUAGUCUAUCCAAAUGCAUGAUGCCAUGCAACCCAAAUGGACCAUGCCGGGUCGGGUCAAGUCUUACCAAUUAUAGUUAUGGACUUAGACAUUAAUCCAACAGUCUCCCACUUGGAUAAGUCUAAAACUAUUAUUGCGUAUGACUUCAGGAACCAACUGGCAAUCGUAGCUCUCAAAAGCUUCUGUCGAACUCUGACCUUGUAGAUGAACUCUGACCUUUGUCAAUGACUUGUCCAUUAGAUAAGGGAUCAUAUAUUCCUCCAUUCUAGAUAUCAUAUGGACUGAGACAUGGAUUAUAAUCAUUCUCUCUGUCCAUUUGUUGUUUCCCGAUUUCCGAUUUAUGACGACUGACUAAUUGAACAAAUCAAAUCAGUCCUGGCCCGGCCGAGCACUUCCAUUUGUCAUCAUCAAAUCAUCGAGGGGCCCACAGAUAUCGCUUUUAUCCCGAAGGUAAAAGGAAUGGAUAAACUUCGACUCAUAUGGCUUGUUCUACUACUUGUUGAAUCAUACACAAAGGCACGUUUUAUAGCACCGAGUUACCAAAUGCGUUUUCGUGCAAUCAAUGUACUAUCAACUCAUAGUAACAACUCAUAUCUCUAGGUUUGAAGAAUAUAAGAUAUUAUCGUCUCAUGAUCACUCGUGAUAAAAUCCAUGAAGUGAUUCCAAUGAGCGCGGGUUGAAUCCAAUACUCAGAACUUAUGAGCACUCAUGAGUGUUGUAGCCCUUUGUCCAACACCUUAGACCUCUACAAGCCAACCCAUGACAGUCUUAAUUCAUAUCUACUUCCAACAUAUGACCGACUGUGGAUGGUUUGAAUAACUUAGUCAUUCCGGAAGAAUAACCUAGUUUAUUCGGGAAGUCAAAACAUGCAAAAUGAAACACAAUAAUAAUUGAAUCCAAUAUGGUAUCAAAACCUAUGAACAUAAAUAAAACACCUUUUAUUUAUCACCAUAUGAUUACACAUUAUUCAUUGUAUACUGUUUCAGCUAUCAACUUUAUUCUUGAAUUUAAAACAAUAGUUGUCCCAUGCUCCAAGCAUGUACACUAUGUUUUCUAAACACUAGUCAUGCCAUACACCAAGUAUGCAUACUAUGUUUGUCUAUGAUCUUUACUUUGUGAACUAGAUCAAUUGAACAUAACUUCAAUGAUUCUCUUUUCACACUCCCAAAUCCUUACUGCAAAUGCAAGAAUUCCAAAUUCAUGCCAUUUACUGAAAUCUGUUAGAUUCUAAACUUAUAUGCAUUGAUCCUCUUGUAAUGAUUAUGCACAAAGUCACAAGGACUUGACAACAAACAUUACAAAGUAUUCCAAAGGAGAUCAACUCCUUGGAAACAUCCUUCUUGCAUUAAGUUUCCUUAAUCUUACAUAGAUUGAAAAUUCUAAGUUUUAAACAUUUCCAGAUUCAUUUUGACUAUCACUUCUGAACAAGAGUUGCCUCCUUACAGAUUAUGUCAAUAUGGUCCUUACAGAAUUAUCACUAUACUUCCAACUAUCCUUGAACACACAAUCUUUGGUAAACCUUAGAUUGUCCUCGACAAUUGAUUAAUCCUUUUAGUCAUAUCCAAUUCUAGACCUUUCCCUUCUUAAUGCCUCAGGCAUUUGGAAAAUUUUAGAAAUGAUGAAUAUAGCACAUGUAAUCGAUCCUAUAUCCGAAGCAUAUGGGACACGAUUCAUGAUGUCUCACAUAAAGACUAAACCAGUCUUUUGCUAUAACAUUUCCAUUUCUAUUUGCCAAGUUCUCAUAAUUCAGAUUAUGAAAAGGGAUGCCGUAAUCAUAAUCGAAUUUUAGAACGCAAAUAAUGGACCCAUAUACAGAAUUUCCUUAUGUUGAGCCAUUCCAACAUGAAAUUCAUAUAUAUAUUUGACUAAAUGAUUAAAACCUCACGAUCUAAGCUUAUAGAUUUGAGAUGAAGCAUAAUUUCCUCUCCCUUAAUUAUAGCAAAACAACUUUUUCCCAAUUGAAACUUUUGUUUUCUAUAAUUAACAUUGCUAACUUGCAAUACUUAUCAUAAUUAUCAUGCUCCCACUAACAUGAUGAUUAUUAGCAUAACACUUAUGCUCCCACUAGCUUUGACAUGUACUCAGAAAUCAGCUGGACAGUCUGAAAUUUAGAUUCAUACACCCUUUCCGUAGAUAGCUCACCUGUGUGUCUAAGCAAUUUCAAGAACCAUGAAAAGGGAUACCGUAAUCAUGGUCUCAAUUGCUUAGGCAUUUGCCAUUUCUCACAAGUCCAUGUUAGUGUGCCGGUUAACCACACGCGCUCCACUAACGACUUUUGAAAAUGCAAAUAACACAAUUGAUAUCUUCGUAAAAUCUACUUAGUGAAAGCGUUUCCUCACCAUCAUUUUCAUGAAUCGGAGAGAAACCUUAUGACACUUAGAUUUAUAUGGUGUAUGAGUUCCUACCCAUAUGAAUUUGUCAAACCAUAAUCACAAGACAAAGAUAAUGACAAAUCCAAAACCAUAUGGAUUGAACUCAAUCUUAACUUCUUGCCACCUGGCAGCUCAAGGGCCUGCCAUUGCUUCCAAGUUGUUAUGCAACAAACUGAGAACUCUAAGAACUCAUAUGCAAAGCCAACUUUAACUGGAAUGGGCACAGAUAUGUCAACACGAUAGGUUAUAAACCUCAAGUCGUGUGCUAGUGAAGAACUUCAGGUUUUAUUCUUGAUUAUUUCUUGAGACUUUCAAGACCUUUAAGACUCCCACUGUCCUCUUGACAUAUAAGACUCCCUUGUCAAACAUCCAAGAGAUAGUGCGGAUUCUAAUCAAGAAAAACACUUUACCCAAUUGGCCUAAGUUGGUCUUUGUUUUAUCCAAAACAUCACAACUUACCAAUUUCAAAUGUACAAGAGUAGAAAACUUUUACUCUUACAUUUGACAAGUGUUUUAAACCUUCUUUAAGACAUGUCACUCAAAUGACAAUCUUGGAGUAUGACUCUAAGACUUGUAUUGGAACGAAGUAUGACUCAUCUUCUUGAUUUAACCAUUUCAACAAUUCAAGUUCCUCUUCUUAGUCAUAAGAAUGCACUAAGAUUUCCUUAGAGAACUAAUUGUGAUAUGGUUUCUUAAUCAUUAAGAUGAUCACAAAACUGAUACUAAAGUACUCUCCCAUCUUUUCAGAUUUGAGAAACUUUUAUCCUUCUGCCUAAUUUGAUUCUUCUUAUCGAUCUUUAGUGGUGGACUUAAUCAGUGCACAAGAAUGUGUACUCGAUCCCUUAGUCCUUUACUUGACUCACACAUCCAUGUGAACAAGUAAUUAGUCUUAAUUUUCCAAAACUUGAAAGUUCUCAUUCAUCAUGCUAUACAACUUGCAUGAUUCCAAGUUCCGGUCCAAUUGAAACUUGGGUGAUGAGAAUCUUUCCUUAUUUGGUAAAUCUAGACAUUACCACAAAUGAAAGAAUCAAUUUCAUAUUUCCACUCUUGCUCUUAAUGGAAUCAUAUAAGCAACAAUUUUUCCUCAAAAGCCAUUGUAAGGAUAUUUUAAAAUAAAUAAAAUCAAAAAAAUUUUCUUUUAUUUUAAAACUUUGCGGAAAAACUUAUCCUUACAAUCCAUAUGAAAACUUGUUGUUAUCUAUUCCUAAGCAAUAUCUCAUAACUCCUAAGAAGUAGCUCAAGAAUCCGAUCUUCAAACUAUGCGAUAGAAAUCCAUCUACGCCAUCAGAUUCAGCAUAUUCUUUCUUUAAGUUUCUUCACUUUUCUUUGAUUCUUAAAACAUCACCAUGUGACCCAGUCACAUCAUGUAUCAAGAAUCUCAGAAUAGAAACUUAACAGAGUUAGAUAGUGGACUUUACCUGAAGUAGAGUCAAACUUAUUGACUUUAACAUCCUUAGGUAAAUUUGGCAGCUUCGCAACCAAUGCCCCUUCCUUUGGCAAUAUAAACAUAUGGACCCUUUGAUAAUGGUACACGGGACUAUCACAGACUUAGCUUUUCUCUUUACCAUUUGGUCAACCGAGUUGACUAUGGCCGAUCCCUUUCCAUUGGGAAGAGAAUGCUUUACUGGAUAUCCAAUGUCAUCAUUGUCAAUGUCCAUAAAGUUUUAGGAAGUUGAUCUUAGCAAAUAGAUAAGAUCAUUAAGGGUCUUGUCAUAGUCUGUUUCAUAGGUGUCCCAAAGGAACUCACUAUGUGACUUAGAAAGUGGUUGAACCACCAACUUUCUCAAGACUUUGACACCCAACUCUCCCGGCUUGUCAAUAUGUGACUACAUCUCCAAGAUGUGACCACACCUAGACCUUGCCUUGCUAAUAGGGCCUGAGUGACCUUAAACUUUUCAAGAACUUGUGGGUUAGGGAGAAUAAUUUGAAGAGGUGAAGAAGUAUGAUAUCCAUGGGACAUCAUCUUCAUUAGGAAACCUUGUUUCAAGAGAUUUGGGAAGAUCAUAGGUGUCUAAACCAGACAUCUUUUGGGAGAUAUUCAAGAUAGUUGAUUUAAAGUCCUUAAUAUGACACCCAAUAUGAAAUAUUAAGGCUAGGACCCAACAAACUAUUUUAUAACUUAGAAGAGGUAUGCCGUAAUCCAAGCUAUAAAAUAUUUGAAGGUAGGUGAAUGACGAUUCACCAAUUUCCACCAAGAUAAACGAAAUGUAUUAUUAGGUUUUAAUUGGUUUUGAAACUCCUAGAUCUUUGAGAUUCAUUGAACUUUUCAAAGGCAUGUUUCAAUCUCGAGUGUGCCCUUCAGGUUUUGUGACUGGGAUGCCGAGGAUCACAAAACAAGGUGUGAAGUAACCAUGCAAAUCACUUGGUACCCUUAAUAAAUUACCCCUCAAUCGAUGUGCCGGUUAACCACACACGCUCCAUCGAUACUAUGAUAAAUAUUAAGUCACCCUUUACCUACCUUGUUAAGUCCAAGUUAGUGUGCCGGUUAACCACACACGCUCCACUAACGACUUAGACAAAGUGUAAAGUGUAAUUUCAUGGAUUAGCACCUUAUUCACAUUUUUCCUAAGUAACUAAGAUUGGGUAUUAUUAAGAGUUUAGUUACUUAGUAUUAUCAUUAAUACUUUUAAUGAAGGGAGAAUUCUAGUCCUGUCAAACCCGUUCGGCUAACGACCCUCCACCAGUCAAGCAAGCGGUGGGUGAGAGUGGACACCCAUUAAGUUGCCAUUUUAUAGGCAACAACCUUAUACCCACCUUAUAGACCGGCUUCGUGAAUGAGGCGUACUAGCGGUAAGACUGACUUUACUCUUAUACAUAUAUAUAUUAUUAACUUAUAAUAUUAUAAAGUAUAAGGGUUGAAUUUUAACUUUUAAAAUUCUAAGGGCUAACUUGGAAUUAAAGUAUUCAUAAGUGAAAACUUUACAAAUUCCAAAACUUGAGGGCAAGUUUUGAAACUAUUCAAAACUAAUUAAUUCCAUAACUUAUGUGUUUAAAGUAGUUUUAAUCCAAAAACUCUUCAAGUUCCAUAACUUGAGGACAAGUUAUGGAAGACUUUAAACUAAUAAAAGAAUUAACUUUUCUUUAUUUUAUAACUUAUGGAAUUAAUUAAGGUUACUUUUUUUUUUUAUUUAUUAUUUAAUGAAGAGACUCUUGGUCCUCCAUAACUUGAGGACAAGUUAUGGAGUCAUAAAACCAUUUAAUUAGAACUAGACUCUUCAUUUUGUAACCUUUGCCAACUUUUAUGAGUUUUAUGAAACUUAAAUGUGACUUUUCAUAUAACUUGAGGACAAGUUACAAAAACACAUUUUAGAAUCAACUCUUAGAUUAAUUUGGAUUGAAAACAACUAUUUCACUCAACUUUUCUAUUAAUCUAAGCAACUCAUAAGAACAAGAUAAUUCAAAUCAAACUUUUUCAUGUAAUUAGUCUAAACCUUAAACUAAUACAAAACAUGAAUCUAUUGACAAUUAUCUUUGAAAUUGGAUUAGCAUGAACAUUACCACAUCAAAAACAAGUUUAUAAGUCCAAAAACAUCUUAGGGUAAUGUUCCUAGUCCAAUUCCAGCCAAAAAAGUCGAAUAUAUGCUGUCUGGGGGUCCAACUCGUCGAGUGCACGAACCAACUCGGCGAGUUGGAUGCAUUUUGCCUUGGACUCAGCGAGUCUGCUGGGCAGACAGCAUCAAAACUCGAUUUUUCAGCUACUUUUGCAAGUAUAACAAGAAAACAAGCCUUGGCUCUGAUACCACUGUUGGGUUUUGAGCAUUCUAACACUCCUAAGUGUACAUGCAACCCUAAAUACCUUGGAUCUAUGUUUUCUCUAUUAUACAUGCAAAUAUGAACAUCCAAGGUAUUAUCCUAAUCUAGCAUACCAAAAAAUGAAUAUAAGAAGAUAGAAUACAUACCUCUUUCAUGUAGAAAGUCUUCAUGAAGCUUGAGUGCCUAGUGCCUCAAGUGUGACACCUCAAAUGGUUCACACAACACCAAAUACACUUGGAAUAACUUGAGAGAAACUUGAACACUUCAUGAAAUCGUUUAGCUCUCUCACACACACACAUAGUGCACGAUUUCUUGAGCCAUGGGAUUCUUUUAUAUGGUGGCUAUUAGGGUUACACCAUGUAACUCAUGACUUUACCCAUUACUUAUGCUCCAUGGAUUUUAACCUCCAUGGAGUAUCCAUGGGUCACCCCAUGGACUUAGUCCAACAUAAGGAAUCUUGGAUCACAAGCCCACAUAUAUAAGAAUGAAUGAUUUACACAAUCAACCCAUAUAUUUAAUUAGUCUCCUUUUGAUCACUUAAUUAAUUCCAAAUUAAUUCUUGAUCAAUACUAAUUAAAUAACCUUAUUAAUAUAUUAGAACUUAUAAUAUAUUAUCAAACCUUAAGUGUUAUUUCUCUCAUUAUAGUCUAUCCAAAUGCAUGAUGCCAUGCCGGGUCCGGUCAAGUCUUACCAAUUAUAGUUAUGGACUUAGACAUUAAUCCAACAGAUAUAUCAUGUGCCUUGUUUAGGAUCGUUCCAUUUGAACGGAAUCCCAGUUCAGGUGUUGUUUGAUUCGGGUGCCACCCGAUAUUUUGUCCCUCUUGCACUUAGCAAGAAGUUUCUGGAGUCUUCGGGCAUGUUGGAUUGCCCUCUAGAGGUCGAGAUUGCGAACGACCGGUCGGUGUGAACAUCGAAGGUCUAUCGGGACUGUGUUUUGAGGCUGUUCGAGGAGCAUUACCUGGUAGACCUGGUUUCUAUUCCGUUGAGGGGGAACAAGGUGAUUAUAGGCAUGGAUUCGUUGAGCCCCAAUGGGGCAGUGAUAGAUUGCGCGUAGCAGCUGGUUUGGAUCAGGACCCCAAGUGGGGGAGAUUUGGUACUUCAGGGCGAGAGGCCGCAGCGAGGGCCAUCGGUAUGUUCAGCAGCGAGAGCUAGGCAUUACCUUCAGCAUGGUUGCGCAGGAUAUGUCGCCUAUGUUAUGGACACCCAGGAGGCAGGUAAGGUGACGGUGGGCGAUGUGCCCAUGGUGCGUGAGUUUACGGACGUAUUCCCCGAGGAGUUGCCUGGGAUACCUCCAGAGAGGCAGGUGGAAUUCAGGAUCGACCUAGUCCCUGUUGCAGCUCCGAUAGCCAAGGCACCAUAUCGGUUGGCUCCUCCUGAGAUGCAUGAGUUGUCUACACAGCUGCAGGAGCUGUUGGACAAGGGAUUCAUUAGACCGAGUAGUUCUCCCUAGGGACCCCCGCUUUUGUUUGUGAAAAAGAAGGACGAGUCACAUCGGAUGUGUAUAGAUUAUCGGGAGCUGAAUAAGGUAAUGGGGAAGAACCGUUACCCACUCCCGUGGAUUGAUGACCUCUUUGACCAGUUACAGGGAGCAUCUUGGUUCUCCAAGAUUGAUCUACGCUCAGGAUAUCAUCAGAUGAGGGUCAGAGAGGAGGAUGUACAGAAGACGGCGUUUCGGACACGCUAUGGCCACUAUGAGUUCGUGGUGAUGCCUUUCGGGCUCACCAAUGCUCCUGCCGCGUUCAUGGACCUCAUGAAUCGUGUGUGUAGACCGAUGUUAGAUCGAUAUGUGAUAGUGUUUAUGGAUGACUUCUUGGUUUACUCCAAGACACAGGAGGAGCACGAGGAGCAUCUGCGAGAGGUUCUAGGGACUUUGAGGAAGGAGAACUUGUAUUCUAAGUUCUCCAAGUGUCAGUUCUGGUUGCGCGAGGUGCAGUUCCUUGGGCAUCUCAUCAACCAGAAUAGGAUCUCAGUGGACCCGGCCAAAGUGGAGGCCGUGAUGAGAUGGGAGGUUCCGAAGUCUCCAUCCGAGAUUCGGAGUUUCCUAGGAUUAGCCAGCUAAUAUCAGAGAUUCAUCCAGGAUUUCUCCAAGAUAGUCGUACCCUAACUAGGCUAACAAGGAAAGCCGUGGUCUUUCGUUGGGGGCCUGAGCAGCAGGCCGCAUUCGAGACUAUGAGACAAAGAUUGUGCGAGGCGCAAAUCUUAGCCCUGCCAGAAGGCAUGGAGGAUUUUGUGGUAUAUUGCGAUGCGUCCAUCUCAGGUUUGGGCGCAGUUCUGAUGCAAAGAGGGCAUGUCAUCGCCUACGCAUCGAGGCAGCUGAAGCCUCACGAGGCGAAUUACCUGACGCAUGAUUUGGAGCUGGGGGCUGUCGUGUUCGCCCUCAAGAUUUGGCGACAUUACCUCUAUGGGGUUCGUUGUACGAUUUACACGGAACACAAGAGCCUGAGGUUUCUCAUGGACCAGCCAAAUAUAAACAUGAGGCAGCGUCAGUGGCUUGAUGUGGUAAAGGAUUACGAUUGCGAGGUCCUUUACCACCCGGGGAAGGCCAAUGUGGUGGCCGACACGCUUAGCCGCAAGGCAGCGCCGAUCAGGGAUAUCUGUCUGAGGAUGACAGUGGUGACUCCGCUGUUGGAGCGGAUUCGGGAAGCCCAGCAGGAGGCCAUGAAGGAGGAACAUCGNNNAUUGUGGGUCAGGUUUCCUCCUUUGACUAUGACAGUCGGGGGUUGUUGACUCUGCACCGUAGGGUGUGGGUCCCGUAUCAGGGAGUGUACGCUAGGUAUUGAUGGAGGAGGCACAAAAAUCUCGAUUCUCCAUUCAUCCCGGGGCGACGAAGAUGUAUAGGGAUCUUCGUCUGGACUAUUGUUGGCCCCACAUGAAGCGGGUUGUGGCAUGGUAUGUAGAGCGGUGUUUGUGACAUCCCCAAUUUCACGGCCAGAAAAGACCGAUUUGUUUACGUUUUGUUUUAUAAAUCAGAGUAAUCGUUUAAAGAAACCGAUUGUGGAAUUUGUUCCAAAACAAGAUAUGAUAAUAACUUAUCAAAACAUUUCUCAAAGAGAAUGUAUUUUUUUUAUUUAAUAAUAAAACCUCGGGAUGUCAUGUUCCGAUACAGACCAAAAGCAUAAACAAUAUAAAAUAGACCUUACAACAGUUAUUUAUAACUACUGAUCUAUAAUCCAAAUCUCUCGUCAAGUCCAUCAACUUAUACCCUUGUGCCAAUACCUGUAAUGCAAUGAAAACUGAGUGGGUCAGGCUUGGGAGCCUGGUGAGCAUAUAGGGUUUUCAGCCCACAAUAAUAAAUUUAUUAUAUUCAAUUAUAAAACAAUCAACCCAAAUACCCAUCCCCAUAUCUCCUUUAUUUUCUCAAGGGUUUACCCUAAGAACCAACUAUCCCUCAUUCAUUCAUUCCUUAGGAUUUACCUAAGGAACUGGCACAAAGUCCUUUUGCUACCACGGUUAUACAACAUGUACUACGUCACAUAGUCACUAGGGUUCAUACAAUAGGCACUAUGUUUCAUAGUCACCAGGGUUUACACAACAGGCACGAUGUCACAUCGUCGCCAAGGUUUAUCAAAUAGGCACGAAGUCGCAUUGUCACCAAGGCUUAGUCAAUAGGCACGAAGUCGCAUCGUCACCAAGGUUUUACUCAAUAGGCACGAAGUCGCAUCGUCACCAACUAUUCUAUCUACCCGUGUUCUACCCAACAAUCUUGUAGAUAUAAAUACAAACACAGUUUAAAUCAUUUAACACCCCUAUAAAAACAUCGAUUCCAAUCCCAUCUCAAAUAGAGAAAUAAUAUAUAACACGUAGCACGUAUUUCAUAGAUAAUACUUUAUAUUUAUGUGUUAGAAGAAAGUAACUAUACACUCACACCAAACACAUACUUAAUACAUUCAAACAAUACUUGUAUUAAUAUCGUGUUUAUGAAAGGGACUAUACACUCACAUGAUUAGACGAUGCUUGGAAAGCACUACGGCUUGUAAAAGUAGUAUUCUUCAGUAGAUCUGGAAGAUCUUUACAAAAAUCGGCUUCUCGGAGGCAAAGCUUUGGCUCGGGAAUUUCACUUCUCGGGAUCUUCGGGCUUCGGGACUUGCUUCGGGGCUCGGGAAUGAUACCGGGGAUUUGGAGGGGGGUGGGUUAAAAUAGGUCUUAAAGAGAUUAUCGGGAGUGGGAGAGAUGAGAAGGAGCAACCAAAAUCGGCUGAACCUCGAUUUCUAUUUAUAGGGUGAAUUUUCUGAGUUCACCUCGUGAGUUUCUAAUAUUCACCUCGUGAACUUGCUCACCUCGUGAGCUAGAUACGUAAUUGCGUUCUUCAUGGCCACUUGCCCUGGAAGACGUCCAUCAACUGUUCACCUCGCGAGUUUCUAAUAUUCACCUUGUGAGUUCUGACAGUUUUGGGGUUUCGCCCCUCGAACUUCAGAAAUUCAUAACUUUCGCAUACGAAUUCCGUUUUCGACGUUCUUUAUAUCCACGCGUAGGUAAAAACAAGAUAUACAACUUUCAUUUAGACUUAGUUGGCUAAUUUUGAAUUUAAUUUUAAUAUAUUAUUAAUAUAUUAUUUUUAGUAGGCCGGGAUAGGAAAACUCCGUUUGAUAUUCAUAACUCUUUCAUCUGAACUCUGUUUUCGUCUGUCUUUUUAUCGUUGGACUACUAUUGAUGAGAUCUUCAAUUCUAAUUUAUAAAGUUUUGGCUAAAUAUCAACCAACCUCAAUCUCGAGUUUUGGGCUGCAUACUGCUAAUGUUGAAACUUCGAAAAAUCGUAACUUCCUCAUACGAAGUCAGAUUUAGACGUUCUUUUUAUGCAAGCUCUCGGUUUAACGUAUUCCAUGACUUUCAUUUAGAUCAAUAAGGCCAAAUAUCGCUCUAACAUAAAUUCACUAUUUAUGUGGCGCUGUGUCAUGCCAGUUCUGUCGCGAAACUUCGACAGGUCAUAACUUCGUGGUUAUAACUCGGAUUUCAGUGUUCUUUAUAUGUAUGGAAUCCUUGUAACAUAUACUACAACUUAGUUAAGAUUAUUCCUUCAAAAUAAUCUUCCAUCGAAAAGUCAUUUUAAUGCUUAUUGUCCUUAAAUUGACUACCCUCAUCUACGGGCGUUACAAUUAUCUCCCCCUUAGGAUGAUUACCUCCCAGAAUCAUCAACGAAAUAGGAUUCGUAUAUUGACUCCAUACAUUAACUCUCCAUCCUAAGUAAUAACCUUGAUACUCAAUCCCACAUCUACUCUUCGUACUAAGUUGGACUUUCAUUCGUAACCUUUGAGUUACAAAAUAAAUCUUUAUUGAGGACUCCUUCUUCUUCUUAGGAUAAAUACUUUCCUUUAUCUAUUGCAACAUAUCAAUGGGUCAUGUUCUAAUGACCUCUCAUCGUAUGAUGCAACACUUAGACUCAAGUCUCAUAGAGUCAAAUUCCGAAAUGGAAUCUACCUUCCUUCAUAUUCUAAUGUGAUAUAAUCACAUUUUUACAUGUAGCAUUUCUAGCUACAAGCUUCCUUAACAACGAGCGUGAUGCUAUCGAUCGUAUGGAUUUCAAUCUUCUGACUUGUGUCAGAUGCUACCUCAAACUUGGUUCUAUGAACCACAUAACAAACUCAUCGUUGUCGGACUCAAUUUGAUAUGACCGCUAGGGUCAGAAUACCAAUCAUCUUCUUGGUCACUACCGAAACAAUGGUAACGACAUACUUGAAUAAAACGAGACCAAUCGCUAGCUUCUUGGUAACCUUGUGUGUAACACCGAAAAAACUAAAAAAAAUUUUCACAUUUUCAAAACACAUUUUCCAAACACAUUCAUUAAUAAAAUCUCAUUGUAUCGUGUCAUUGUUCACAAAACAGUUCCCAAGAUCAAAUAAUAAUAAACUCCGCGGGUGUAUACAGAUCAUGCCGGCGCCUUCCCGCGAUCAUCAUUGGUACUUGAAACACAUAACACAUAACACUGUAAGCAUAAAGCUUAGUGAGUUCCCCAAAAUACCACACAUAACACAUACUAGCCACUCGACGCUAUAACUAUGUGGGCCCUUGGGCCCUAACUCUGUGGACCCUCUAGUCCUAGCUCUGUGAACCUUCCGGUUCUAACUCUGAUAUACUCUGAUAUACACACGACAUAAAUCACAUAGAAAUAAUGUAGUGCAACACAUUACAUAGAUAGCAUACAAUAACUCUGUCACAUAACUCUAAUUACCACUCAAGGUAAAGUAUAGUGAGAAGACUUACCUCAGAUGUCUCGAUAAAUCCCUGACUCGGUAGCGGCAUAGUCUAGCCUCCGCCUAAUCACAUAAAGUAAAAUACGCUCAUAAAUAUAACUCUCGAGACUAGACCCAACCCUCUUUUAGCACCCUCAGAUGGGUAAAAGACCAUUUUACCCCUCUCUUGACUCAAAGACCCCAUUGUUGACCAAUCCCUAAAAGUCAACAAAGUCAACGAUCAAACUUUGACCUGACUCGUCGAGUGCACUUGGGCGAAUUGACGAGUCUACACGUGUCCACUAUCUCUAUAGCCUCUCAUGACACGUCGAGCCUUCCCCCUGCUCGAUGGGUUACACCUCGCAUGAAUCGCGGGGCCACCCCGACUCAACUCUUUGAGCUCAAUUAUGAACUCGACGAGUUCCACCUGUAAUCCUCUACCCCCUUCUGACUCACAGAGUCAUUCCCCCAAAUCGACAAGUUACUCACCAUGUGAUUUACAGGAAACCCUAGCCCUACUCGUAGAGUCUGUACUUAGGACUCAGCGAGUUCAUACCAUGCUCGAGCUUAAAUGAGCUCCUGAGGUCAGAUCUGUUCCUCUAACUCAUAGAUCUGGCCUCCUAAAGCAAUAAAAACACGUAAAGUUUGGAUCUUGAUGCCCAUGCAAAGACCCAAUGGCUCUAUUUGAAGAAAUGGCCUCAAUAUGCCAUCCAAAACUCAUAUUUCUCCAAGACACUCAAUAAAGAUCAAGGAUUUAAGGUCUCUGGACCUCUUUGGAUCCAUAUUCGAAGCCUCAACACAUGAAGUGACCAUUGGCUUCACAAAUCAUACUCUAAAAGCGGGCUAGAAAACCUAACUUUCAAAUUUUACACCAAAAUUGAAAGAGGAUCGAACAUUUACCUCAAGAUGAAGUCCUUAAGCUCUGAAAUCCACAGGUUAGCUCCCUCUUCAGUUUCCUCUUGCCUUGGUCACCUUCUUCUUGCAAAAUCACCCACACAAGGAUCAAAAAUGGCUUCCUUUCGAUCUCAAAUUGCUCACACACUCUGGGGUCUCUCUCUACCAACUGGUAGCCGCAAAUGAAGGCCAUAAGGGCCAUUAAAUAGGCCUCAAUCCCCGAAAAUUAGGGUUUCAUUAAACAACGCGGACUCGCCGAAUCCACUAGUCGACUCGUCGAGUCCGGUCAUUUACCCGGAUGAAAAUUUGCGACUCUACUCGGCGAGUCUAAGCAUCAACUCGCCGAGUCUCUCUCAAAAUCUCCAAAAUAAUAAAUAAAUAAUGUACCUGGAAAUCCGGAUGUUACAAUUGUCCCCCACUAGAAUUAGAAUUCGUCCUCGAAGUCUUACUCUGCAAAUAGUUCUAGAUACUGCUCACGCAUCUCUCGCUCUGGCUCCCAAGUCAGCUCGGACCCUUUCCGAUGCUGCCACUGGACCUACACCAUAGGCACUUCCUUGUUUCUCAGANCUCAAAAUCUCCAAAAUAAUGAAUAAAUAAUGUACCUAGAAAUCCGGAUGUUACAACUCUCCCCCACUUGAAUCAGACUUCGCCCUCGAAGUCUUACUCUGCAAACAGCUCUGGAUACUGCUCACGCAUCUCUCGCUCCGGCUCCCAAGUUAGCUUGGACCCUUUCUGAUGCUGCCACUGGACCUGUACCAGAGGCACUUCCUUCUCCCUCAGAACCUUGAUCUUCCAAUCCCUAAUCGCAAUCGGUUUCUCAACAUAGUUCAGGCUCGCAUUCACCUGAAUAUCCUCUAAUGGUACCACAGCUGACUCGUCGACAAUACACUUUCUCAGCUGUGAUACGUGAAAGGUGUCAUGAAUCUAGCCCAACUCUGCAGGUAGCUCCAAGCAGUAUGCUACCCUACCCACCCUGGCGGUCACCCUGAAAGGGCCUAUAUACCAAGGCCCCAACUUGCCUCUCUUCCUGAAUCGGAUCACUCCUUUCCAAGUAGAUACCUUCAGGAGUACGAAGUCACCACCCUGGAACUCAAGCUCUGACCGUCGUCUAUCCGCAUAACUCUACUGACGACUCUAGGCCUUCAGUAACCUCUGUCUGACCUGCUGAAUCUGCUUGGUCGUCUAAAGCACAAUCUCGGUACUACCCAUCACACGUAGCCCUACCUCUCCCCAGCAAAUGGGGGUCCGACACCUCCUCCCAUACAACAGCUCAAAGGGUGGCAUACCGAUGCUCGAAUGAUGGCUGUUGUUAUAAGAAAACUCAGCCAAGGGUAAGUGUGUGUCCCAACUUCCUAUGAAGUCCAAUACAUAGGCCCGAAGCAUGUCCUCGAGCAUCUGAAUAAUCCUCUUGCUCUGCCCAUCAGUCUGUGGGUGGUAUGCGGUACUAAAAUGCAGCCCCGUACCCAAUUCCUCAUGAAACUUCUUCUAGAACCUGGAAGUGAAAUGCACAUCUCAAUCUGAAACAAUCGAGACCAAUACUCUAUGACGCGAUACCACCUCUCUCACGUACAAUUCUGCCAGCCUCUCCGCAGAAGAGCUCUCGCUAAUAGCAAGGAACUGAGCGCUCUUCGUCAACCUGUCCACAAUCACCCAAAUUGCAUCGACACCCCUCGCAGUCUUUGGCAAUUUGGUGAUGAAGUAUGUGGUAAUAUGUUCCCACUUCCACUCGGGAAUUUCUAACGGCUGCAGCUUACCAUGUGGACGCUGGUGCUCGGCCUUAACCCUGCGACAUUUCAAGCACCUCUCAACGAACCAUGCAACAUCCCUCUUCAUACAGGGUCACCAAUACUCUUUCUUCAGGUCCAAAUACAUCUUAGUGGCCCCAGGAUGGAUCAAAAACUUCGAUCUAUGCGCCUCCUCUAUCAAGAUGGUGCGCGUUCCACCCACAAACGACACCCAAAUCCGUCCCUGAAAGGUCAUAAGCCCUCGGCUAUCAGUGGCGAACUCCGAUACCUGCCCGAUAACCCGCUCCCUCUUGCGGUUCUCUGGUCUCACGGCCUCAGCCUGGGCCCCUCGAAUGGCGUCAAAUACUGGGGUCAUCACUGUCAGCCUCAUACAAACAUCCUGUAUCCGGGCGCCCUCCGCGCUACGACUCAGGGCAUUGGCUACAACAUUAGCCUUGCCCAGGUGGUACAGGAUCUCAUAAUGGUAAUCCUUUAUCACAUCCAACCAUCUCCUUUGUCGCAUGUUCAGAUUGGGCUGAUCCAUUAAAUACUUCAGGCUCUUGUGGUCUGUGUAUUGUUGGAUAAGGUGUCUAACUCCAUAACUUAUUUGGUAUAUACUUGACCCGACCCGGCAUGGUCCAUUUGGGUUGCACUUCACCCAAACUAUUUAUGGAUAAUUUUAUGAGAAUUGUAUACUUACGAUUUAUUAAUAUAUUAUAAGUUAUAAUAUAUCAUUAUAAUGUCAUUUUAUUUAAUUAGUUUUAAUCUUGAAUUAAUUAUGAAUUAAUUUAGUGAUUAAAAGGAAGACUAAUUAAAUUAUGUGCUAUUACAUUUAUAUGGUGUGGGCUAAUACUCAUUUGUUAAUGUGCUAAGCUUAUAUGGAAGUCCAUGGAUGAUCCACGGAGCUUUAACCCAUGGAUCCUUGGAAGAGGAAAAGACAUGGGUUAUUAGAGUUUCACUCUAACCAUGCACACUAUAUAAACAAGCUUAUGUUGCAUGAAAAACCACCCUAGUGUGUGUGUAUAAUAGUGGUGGCUGAAUUCUAAGAGUUAGUAUACUCUCUCAUAUAUUUUCCAAGUUUGUGGUGAUUUGUGAUUUCCAUUUGAGGCAUUCACAUUAUUGGUGCUUGGCUCUCAAACUCCAAGGAAUCAACAAUCAACAAAAGGUAUGUAAUUCAUCUAGUUCUUUUAUGUUUAAAAGUACCCCAUGCCAUGCUAGAUAGGUUAUAAACCUUGGAAAAUAAUAUUUUUCAUGUACCUUAGACAAACAUAGAUCCAAGGUUUAUUAGGGUUGCAUGUACACUUAGGAAGUGUUAGAAUGCUCAAAACCCAAUAGUGGUAUCAGAGCCUAGGCUUGUUUGUUUGAUACUUGAUGCAAAAUAGUGAAAAAAAAGUCGAUAUUCUUGCUGUCUGCAUGAUGAACUCGCCGAGUCCAUGGGGGCACUCGCCGAGUUCAUGACCAAAUUCAUCCUACUCGACGAGUAGGAUCGUGCACUCGGCGAGUAGAAGCCUCAGAAUGCAUAUUUUUGACUUUAGCUGCAGGAAAUGGACUAGAAACAUAACCCUAAACUGUUUUGGUGUUUUAAAACUUGUUUUAGUUGGUGUAAUGGUUGUUCUAAUCCAUUUACAAUAGCUUAUAUAAAAAUUUCAUGCUUUGUAUGUGUUCAUAUAAUUCUUGAAACUUUGAUGAUCAUGUUCAUGUUCUUAUGAAUUUAGAAGAUGAUAGGAAUUAUUUGCUGCAUUGUUUAGGAUUAAUUUUUGAUCAUUCAUGUGUUUUAAUGGAGUCCAUAAUUUGUCCUCAAGUUAUGGAUAUCCAAAGGUCACCUCUUUUAAACACACAUUUAAAACACAUAAGUUACAUAAAAUGAAGAGUCUUCAUUUUUAUGAACACUUAAUGCACAAGUUAUGAAAUGAAAAGUUGUGGAUCGUUACAAAACUUGUCCUCAAGUUUUGGAAUUUGUAAAGUUUCACACACUUUAAUAAACUUUAAUUCCAACCCUUAGAGUUUUAAUAGUUAAAAAUCAACACUUAUACUAUUUAUAACAUUAAUGGUUAAUUAUUAUAUAUAU
rnacentral:lncRNA from 1 species